UACGUAGGGGCUAGCGUUGUCCGGAUUUAUUGGGCGUAAAGAGCGUGUAGGCGGUUUGGUAGGUCCGCUGUGAAAACUCGAGGCUCAACCUCGAGACGCCGGUGGAAACCAUCAGGCUAGAGUCCGGAAGAGGAGAGUGGAAUUCCUGGUGUAGCGGUGAAAUGCGCAGAUAUCAGGAAGAACACCCGUGGCUAAGGCGGCUCUCUAGUAACGGGUACUGACGCUGA
rnacentral:rRNA from 1 species